ACUCCUACGGGAGGCAGCAGUGGGGAAUUUUGGACAAUGGGCGCAAGCCUGAUCCAGCCAUGCCGCGUGAGUGAAGAAGGCCUUCGGGUUGUAAAGCUCUUUCAGCUGGGAAGAAACGGACGUGGUUAAUAACUGUGUCUAAUGACGGUACCAGCAGAAGAAGCACCGGCUAACUACGUGCCAGCAGCCGCGGUAAUACGUAGGGUGCGAGCGUUAAUCGGAAUUACUGGGCGUAAAGCGUGCGCAGGCGGCUUUUUAAGCCAGAUGUGAAAUCCCCGGGCUUAACCUGGGAACUGCAUUUGGAACUGGAAGGCUAGAGUGUAGCAGAGGGGGGUAGAAUUCCACGUGUAGCAGUGAAAUGCGUAGAGAUGUGGAGGAAUACCGAUGGCGAAGGCAGCCCCCUGGGCUAACACUGACGCUCAUGCACGAAAGCGUGGGGAGCAAACAGGAUUAGAUACCCUGGUAGUCCACGCCCUAAACGAUGUCAACUAGGUGUUGGGGAAGGAGACUUCUUUAGUACCGCAGCUAACGCGUGAAGUUGACCGCCUGGGGAGUACGGUCGCAAGAUUAAAACUCAAAUGAAUUGACGG
rnacentral:rRNA from 1 species